ensembl:snRNA U6 U6 spliceosomal RNA
GCUUGCUUUGGCCACACACAUAUUAAAAUUAGAAUAAUAAAGAGAGGAUUAGUAUGGCCCCUGUGCAAGGAUGGCACACAAAUUCCUGAAGUGUUCCAUAUCUUC